CUACGGGUGGCUCCAGUGGGGAAUAUUGGACAAUGGGCGAAAGCCUGAUCCAGCAAUGCCGCGUGAGUGAUGAAGGCCUUAGGGUUGUAAAGCUCUUUUACCAGGGAUGAUAGUGACAGUACCUGGAGAAUAAGCUCCGGCUAACUCCGUGCCAGCAGCCGCGGUAAUACGGAGGGAGCUAGCGUUGUUCGGAAUUACUGGGCGUAAAGAGUACGUAGGCGGUUAUUCAAGUCAGAGGUGAAAGCCUGGAGCUCAACUCCAGAACUGCCUUUGAAACUAGAUAGCUAGAAUUAUGGAGAGGUUAGUGGAAUUCCGAGUGUAGAGGUGAUAUUCGUAGAUAUUCGGAAGAACACCAGUGGCGAAGGCGACUAACUGGACAUAUAUUGACGCUGAGGUACGAAAGCGUGGGGAGCAAACAGGAUUAGAUACCCUAGUAGUC
rnacentral:rRNA from 1 species